GACCGGCGCACGGGUGAGUAACGCGUAUGCAACCUACCUAUAACAGGAGAAUAGCCCCGAGAAAUCGGGAUUAAUGCUCCAUAACAAUAUUUUUUGGCAUCUUAAGAUAUUUAAAGCUCCGGCGGUUAUAGAUGGGCAUGCGUGACAUUAGUUUGUUGGUGAGGUAACGGCUCACCAAGACUACGAUGUCUAGGGGUUCUGAGAGGAAGAUCCCCCACACUGGUACUGAGACACGGACCAGACUCC
rnacentral:rRNA from 1 species